CUGGGCUCGAACGGCUCACGAAAGCCGGUGGAAACACUGGUUUCCCGCAAGGGACGGGAGUCGAGGUGCUGCAUGGCUGUCGUCAGCUCGUGUCGUGAGAUGUUGGGUUAAGUCCCGCAACGAGCGCAACCCUUGUCCUGUGUUGCCACUCCCGUAAGGGAAGCACUCUCAGGAGACCGCCAGCGAUAAGCUGGAGGAAGGUGGGGAUGAUGUCAAGUCAUCAUGGCCUUUAUGUCCAGGGCUACACACGUGCUCAAUGGUCGGUACAAACCGCUGCAAACCCGCGAGGGGGAGCUAAUCGGAAAAAACCGAUCUCAGUUCGGAUCGCAGGCUGCAACCCGCCUGCGUGAAGCUGGAAUCGCUAGUAAUGGCGUAUCAGAAUGAUGCCGUGAAUACGUUCCC
rnacentral:rRNA from 1 species